GGCCAGCAUGGUGUAGUGGUUUGAGCAUUGGACUAUGACUUUGGAGACUGGGGUUCAAAUCCCAUUUUGGCCA
rnacentral:tRNA from 1 species